GAAAGUGGGGAAGCCUCUGAACCCUCAGCAGGACAAGGUCUCAUAGGAAAAUGGGAGCAAGUGAGAGGGUGAGGCAAGGGGUGUCCGAUCUGCAAAGCAUCUAAUAGAAUGUCUCUAAGCCCACAGGAUGGAAGCUGGUUCCAAGGUGGAGAAGGUUUGGCCACUCCACCUCCACCCCCUGAGUCCUGGAAUAUCAAGUGUGUGCCGCUAUACUCACUUCAUGUGAUCCUGGAACUGAGCCCAGACCUUCUUACAUGCUAGAUGAUGAACAAGUGAGCUGUCUCCACAGUUCCACAUUUUCAGAAUCAACGGUGAGAUACACUUGUAUUGUUCCUUUAGUGACCCCAGCAAGAGUGUCUUGGAUUCUGAACAAGGAAACAGCUUAUGUAUUUGCCCAUCUCUGUUAUCGUUCCAAAGAACCCGU